rnacentral:tRNA from 17 species
UUUUGAAAAAAGAAUUGUAGACGAACGAGUGAACGGAUGAAUGAAUAUGGUUUGAAUGUUCGAUUCAUUCGUUCGCUCGUCACACUUGCAACUAAUAUAUAACAUUUUUUAUGUAAAUUAAAAUUAAA